rnacentral:piRNA from 1 species
UAACCUUCAGAGUGUCCAUUAGCAUGUAGC